rnacentral:rRNA from 1 species
UGAGGAAUAUUGGGCAAUGCCCGCAAGGGUGACCCAGCAACGCCGCGUGGAGGAUGAAUGUCGUAAGAUUGUAAACUCCUGUUAGAGGGGAAGAAUAGUACCGGUUGGACCGGUAUAUGACUGUACCCUCAGAGGAAGCCCCGGCUAACUACGUGCCAGCAGCCGCGGUAAUACGUAGGGGGCAAGCGUUGUCCGGAUUUACUGGGUGUAAAGGGCGCGCAGGCGGGAUAAAAAGUCAGUGGUGAAAUCCUACAGCUUAACUGUAGAACUGCCUUUGAUACUUUUAUUCUUGAGUUCGGAAGAGAGAGACGGAAUUCCAGGUGUAGUGGUGAAAUACGUAGAUAUCUGGAAGAACACCAGUUGCGAAGGCGGUCUCUUGGUCCGACACUGACGCUGAGGCGCGAAAGCGUGGGGAGCAAACA